ACGUGGCCCCAGGCCGAGGCCCGGGUCGGGGCCCCAUGUUCAGAGCCCUGCCACCCCAGCUUGAGCGUGGUCUUUGGAGCGUUGCCCUGUGAAAAGGGGUGACUUUGCCAUGCUCCUUCCCAGUCUACCUCCUGUUAGUUACAGUUUCUCAUUCCUCUUGAGUAGCAGGCCCUGUUUCUCCACCUAAUCCCUGCAAGUAAACCGUCCCCCAAAUCAAAAUGAGUUCCAUCUGGAACUUUGUAGGAUUGGUCCUAAGAAGAUCCCGCCGAAUCUCUUCACCACUUCCUAGCAGAGCACAGUAAAACCGGGGACUAAGCAAAGUGGCUGACAUGUAGUAAGUGCUCAAGAAAUGGAUGUUGACUAGAUGCUACCUCUCAUCUUUGCCUGUCUGAACUCUCAAGCACCGGAUGCAAGUAGACUGAGAGCCUCCGCCAACCAGCACAGUCUCACUCUCUUACCCAAUCUGGAGUGCAGUGGUGUGAUCUCGGCUCACUGCAACCUCUGCCUCAUGGGUUCAAGCAAUUCUCCUGCCUCAGCCUCCCAAGUAGCUGGGAUUACAGACUCAUUGCUCCAGCUGGAGAGUUGAUUAUGACACAAUGCCUGCCUUGAAGAGGGUAUCUCCAUCUCUUCCCCAUUUUCAUGGAUAUCAAGUGUUUCAUAGAUAUCUGGCUCCACAUGCCAAGUUGUGGGAAGAUUUAACUCCCAACUUAAUAUGAAAUCAAGGAUGCAAUUUCUGAUUAAGCCAGUAAAUUUUGCACAGGAAAUACUCCUUGUUCUACAGCUACAUCCUGUGUAUCUCAUGCUAGCCUUUGCCAGCAAAUAUUAGUCCUUGGUUUUAAGAAAGAUUCAGGGGAAA
rnacentral:lncRNA from 10 species